CAUGUUAAUGUAGCGUUAAAGCUAACGUUAGCUUAGUAAACAAAUGCAUGCAUUUUUAAUUGUAGGAGAUGUUUCACUCGACUCUAGUAGUCCGGAUUUUGUGCCUUCAUUGUUUAUGUACGCCAAACAAACUCAAAAUGUCACAGCAAAGAUGGAAAGGUAUCGCAGGAAAAUGAGGAGAGGUGAUUUCCCACAACAACCUGCUCCAUCUUCAGCUGAACUGGAUGGUACCAUCGACCAUUCCCUUGAAGAAGAACCAGAACCAGAGGCAGAAUUGGAACUUGAAGAUCUUCCAGCAGCACUAAGGACCAAAUUCGACGAACUUGGCAUGAGGUAUCAUCAACUUCAGGAAGACUAUAG